UUCUAGCCCUGAUCGAACGGUAUGUUUGAGCUUUUUUUGUUUAUUCUGCGGCGGCUUUGCCGCCGCAGAAUAAACAAAAAAGCGAGUAGUGAGAGCAGGAAAUAGC
rnacentral:misc_RNA from 1 species